CGAAAGCCUGACGGAGCAAUACCGCGUGAGGGAGGAAGGCUCUUGGGUUGUAAACCUCUUUUCUCAAGGAAUAAGAAAGUGAAGGUACUUGAGGAAUAAGCAUCGGCUAACUCCGUGCCAGCAGCCGCGGUAAUACGGAGGAUGCAAGCGUUAUCCGGAAUGAUUGGGCGUAAAGCGUCCGCAGGUGGCAUUGAAAGUCUGCUGUUGAAGAGUCUGGCCCAACCAGAUAAAGGCAGUGGAAACUACAAAGCUAGAGUGCGUUCGGGGUAGAGGGAAUUCCUGGUGUAGCGGUGAAAUGCGUAGAGAUCAGGAAGAACACCGGUGGCGAAGGCGCUCUACUAGGCCGCAACUGACACUGAGGGACGAAAGCUAGGGGAGCGAAUGGGAUUAGAUACCCCAGUAGUCCUAGCCGUAAACGAUGGAUACUAGGCGUUGCUUGUAUCGACCCGAGCAGUGCCGUAGCUAACGCGUUAAGUAUCCCGCCUGGGGAGUACGCACGCAAGUGUGAAACUCAAAGGAAUUGACGGGGGCCCGCACAAGCGGUGGAGUAUGUGGUUUAAUUCGAUGCAACGCGAAGAACCUUACCAGGGCUUGACAUGUCGCGAAUCCUGGUGAAAGCUGGGAGUGCCUUAGGGAGCGCGAACACAGGUGGUGCAUGGCUGUCGUCAGCUCGUGUCGUGAGAUGUUGGGUUAAGUCCCGCAACGAGCGCAACCCUCGUUGUUAGUUGCCAGCACUUAGGGUGGGCACUCUAACAAGACUGCCGGUGACAAACCGGAGGAAGGUGGGGAUGACGUCAAGUCAGUAUGCCCCUUACGUCCUGGGCUACACACGUACUACAAUGCGACGGACAGAGGGCAGCGAGCAUGCGAAUGCAAGCAAAUCCCGAAAACCGGCGCUCAGUUCAGAUCGAAGGCUGCAACUCGCCUUCGUGAAGGUGGAAUCGCUAGUAAUUGCAGGUCAGCAUACUGCAGUGAAUUCGUUCCCGGGCCUUGUACACACCGCCCGUCACACCAUGGAAGCUGGUAGUGCCCGAAGUCGUUACCCCAACCUUUCGGGGAGGGGGAUGCCUAAGGCAGGACUGGUGACUGGGGUGAA
rnacentral:rRNA from 1 species